CCUGGCCAUUUAAUGAAUUUUGGGUCUUCUUCUUCCUCAUAACACCAAACAGAGAGAGCACACCAAACAGAGAGCACGAAAGGGGUUGCGAUUUUAGGGUUUUCAAGGUUGUGAUUUUGGUGGUGAGAUUUUAGAGAGUACUUUGCAUCAAAACUUCUAUAUCUAUCAAUCACACAUUUGAGAUGGUUAGGUCACUAUUAUAGGGGAAAUGCUGCCCGAUAUUAUUUAGGAUAAUAAACGAUUAGUUGAGAACGGGCAUUACUUGAUUGAACAUGCAAGUCCCAGGCAUUACUUGAGAACGCUAACAAGCACAUCAUAUACAGAGGCACAAAUUGAUGAGUUGCGACAAGAAUGGGCGACAUAUAUGUUGCCGAUAAUCCAAAGUUACCGACCUCGUUGAUAGGUUUUUUUUUAAUUUUUUAACUCUUUCUUCAUACACAAUGCAAUAUUUGUUCAUUUUGAAUAUUUCUAACAAAUAUUGUAUUUCUUGUAUAUAUCUAACAAAUAUAUUUUUUUAUUUCAAUUUAAAUUAAUAU